UGGUACCAUAGCUGCGCGCCCAGCAUCAUCGGCAUCAUCAUAAUCAAUAUAAUCAAUGCUGCUUUGGAGAGUUUGCCACCUGUUGUAAAUGUUUCAGUGUCAACACGCGUCCAGAAAGACUAGAGCGGCUUAUUUUCAGAAGAAAUCCAUUGUUUGGUAAGCUUGAGAGGCACAUUCAGGGAGCAAAGGAGACAUUGUGGAUUACAGACAUGCUGCAUGUUUCGUGUGUUCCAUGUGCAGUUGAUGAUGAUGAUGAUGAUGAUGCCGUUUGCACGGAGAGAUUCAUGAGAUGUUUUUGUCCAGUCAUAACAUCCAGACCACCAGUGUACCAGCACUCGGGCCUAAAACCUCUUUCUGAGGGUUGGUUUCUCUCUUUGGUUAUCUAGCUGUAUGAGUUUUAACACUUUUCAUAAAGCUAGAUAACCGAAAGUAGAAAUAAUUCUCAAAAUCUGUUGAAAACAGCAAGAGAGCACCUACUUUUACCUCAGAGUCUUAUUUCCAUCCAAAAUAUGGCACAAUAAAGUAACAACAACAAGGGCACAGCCAUCAGAGAGAGAGCGAGAGAGAGAUGCUUGGAGGAACAUUGCUACAUCUUCCCUUCUCCAGCUACCCAGAAAGCCCCAGUGCCAUCUGUACCCCUGUGGGGUGCGGAAGAAUCCGUGCCAGUGCCAGCGGCGACAAAACCCUCGUCAGCGUCCUGGAGCCCCGGCACCAACACAGACGGCACAGGGAGGAAGGGAGGCCAUCUUGACGGAGAUCUUACACAAGAAGCUAAGAUGGCUGGGUUGGCACAUGAGAUGUGGACUGAACUCGGUGGAUUCACACUUUGUUGAAAAUGAGACGAAAAUUGACUAAAUAUUCAUCCAGAGAGAACAAUGGGAGCCUCAAGCACCUGAAAGUUUAAGAGGCACAUAAAAUCAUGUGUGUGUAUAUGAGAGCUAAAGUAUUUUGUGUUUAAUAUAAAAGAUUUGUACUGUACAGUAUUAUACAGUAUUUUCAUUAAGAUUAUAUUUGCAUUUUUUACAGUUGCCUAAAGAUAUUUUUCUUUCUUUCAUAGCUAUUAAAAUGAGAAAUAUUAUGUGCAUCUUAUAUACAUAUAGUUUUGUAUUUUUACAUGUAUGUAUUUCCUGUUUUUAUGUUUGUUUUUUUCUGAUUUUUUUAUUUUGAUUUAAUUUUAUUUAUAAAUAAUAAAAUUAUACUGUAUAUUGUAUUAUACGGAUGA
ensembl:lncRNA